rnacentral:rRNA from 1 species
UACGGAGGGUUAGCGUUGUUCGGAAUUACUGGCGUAAAGCGCACGUAGGCGGAUUGGAACGUUGGGGUGAAAUCCCGGGCCAACCCGGAACUGCCUCCAAACUUCCAGUCUGGAGUUCGAGAGAGGUGAGUGGAAUUCCGAGUGUAGAGGUGAAAUUCGUAGAUAUUCGGAGGAACACCAGUGGCGAAGGCGGCUCACUGGCUCGAUACUGACGCUGAGGUGCGAAAGUGUGGGAGCAAACAGG